rnacentral:rRNA from 1 species
CAAUAGCGUAUAUUAAAGUUGUUGCAGUUAAAAAGCUCGUAGUUGGAUUUUGGGUUUGGUAAAAUCGGUCUGCGUUAUGUAGUACUGACUUGCCUGCUCUUCUUCUCGAGGUCUAUGGGUGUACUUAACCGUGUGUUCAUAGUGUUCGGGACUUUUACCGUGAGAAAAUUAGAGUGUUCAUAGCAGGCUUUUGCUUGAAUAUUGCAGCAUGGAAUAAUGGAAUAGGAUCAUGAUCUUAUUUUGUUGGUUUCUAAGAUCAAGAUAAUGAUUAAUAGGGAUAGUUGGGGGCAUUAAUAUUUAGUUGUCAGAGGUGAAAUUCUUAGAUUUACAAAAGAUUAACUUCUGCGAAAGCAUUUGCCAAGGAUGUUUUCGUUAA